GAUGAAGAACGUAGUGAAAUGCGAUAAGUAAUGUGAAUUGCAGAAUUCAGUGAAUCAUCGAAUCUUUGAACGCACAUUGCGCCCGCCAGUAUUCUGGCGGGCAUGUCUGUUCGAGCGUCAUUUCAACCAUCAAGCCCUGCUUGCGUUGGGGUCCUGCGGCUGCCCGCAGGCCCUGAAAACCAGUGGCGGGCUCGCUAGUCACACCGAGCGCAGUAAUACAUCUCGCUUUGGGCGUGCGGCGGGUUCUUGCCGUUAAACACCCCCUUUUUACCAAGGUUGACCUCGGAUCAGGUAGGAAUACCCGCUGAACUUAAGCAUAUCAAUAAGCGGAGGA
rnacentral:misc_RNA from 1 species